rnacentral:lncRNA from 1 species
AUGAUCGAACAGGAUCAGCCCCCCGCCUCCCCCACAGCCUCCUCCAGCCCCAUGGGUCACGCUCCCUCCCGCUGUCGGCUCCGCUCUUCACCUCCCCUGGCUCGGCCUCCAUCCCCUCACACUGAUGGAGCUGGGCCUGCAGAGCUCUCCCGUGCGAGGGCCGAUCCCCCCGCAGUCCCCCAGGGGAGCGCUGGGUGUUGUAGUCUCCACCCGCCGCUCCUCCGCUCAGCGCCAGCGGGCGGUGGGUACCGCGGGACUACACUUCCCGUCGUGCCAUGCGGCAGGCCGCCCCCACCCCCGGCCCACGGCCGCCCCCAGCGCAGCGGCACGGGCAGCGCCGCCGGGCCGGAUGUUGUUGGGCCGCAGCGCCCCGCGGCCCCGCCAUUACCUGGGAGGAGCGGGGAAGCUCCAUCAGAGCCUGAACCUCCAGACAGAGUUUGUGAUGGAAUAGCAACAUAGAAGGAUGCAGUCAACGUCUUUCACACAAGUUUUACAGGAGGAGUGAGCGCCAAUCACCAUGAAAUUAGGUGCCUGCCCUGUAGAUGCAUGAAGUCAGCUGAGAGGAGUGCUAUGUAAUGUGUCUAUUACAUUGUUAGAGAGCCCUAGAGAAGGAUGCCAUGACAAUUACAACUAAAUUGAUUGAAAUUAUGAAGAACAAGGUAACGUCAGAAGUAUAGAAAAUGCAGGUAGAAAAAAGGUGGAUCUUUCAACUGGGUUGUUGCAAGUCCACAGUAAGCUGGAAAAAAUGGUGAUUCUGCUUUUAUUCUUUAGACAGAAAUUAAAAUAAUUAUCAGAAGCCAGGACAUUGUGUUUCCUGGUAUAUUUAAUAAGCAAAAGGAUUUUGCAUCUGCUAUAGCAUUAACCUUUGGAGAAGGAGUAAGAAAGUAGCUGACAGUAGUCAGAGAGGAGGACUUCAAUGGAAACCUAAGAGAAAAUGGAGCCCAUGAAGUUGUGUGUCAGCAAUUGUUACCUAAAAAUGGGAUAGGAAAAUAAAAAGUUUAUUCACAUCA